UGGUCAGUAAGAGCGUUGUGCUGUACCACGUUGGUGCACCUACCGUGCUGAAUUUUGCCAUAAGCUGGUCUAACUUGUCCGUGGCAAAACCAGCUGCAGUCAGCCUUCUGAAGCUCCUUUUUCCUUUAAUGCCUUGCUGCAUACACGAGAACGCACAGUGCUCUCUGAUAUUUAUACUGUAUCAAGAGUUGUCCUGGGUGUUCAAGAAAUGACCAAAAUCUGGAAAUCCUGCUGGUGGAGGUGGACCGACCAAAGAGCCCAUCCUUCAUCUCUGAGGAUGUUUUACAGCCUCAGGAUGUGUAGGUUGUGCUGCUGCUCUCCCCUCUGCUGGCACCACUAUUAGAGCAGUCCUCCUGAAUUUGCUGUGUUGGAAGGAGCCUGGGGGAAGGCACAGGCAGAGUGAUGGACCCAUGUUCAGCUUCUGGCUGAGGUUGCCCAGAGAGGUGGUGGAUGCCCCAUCUCUAGAGACUCCCAAGGUCAGUCUGGAUGGGGCUCUGAGUACCUGAUGGAGCUGUCGGUGUCCUUGUUCAUUGCAGGGGAGUUGGAUUAGAUGGUCUUUGAGGGUCCCUUCCAACUCAGAUGAUUCUAUGAUGACCAGGGUGGGCAGCAGAGCAUUUUCAAGUAUGUUGGUAUUAUACACCUUUAAACCAAAGCUUGAUCUGUUCCCACAAAUGACACCAAAUGAAUCUCAGCCACUCUUCAGAUUAUUUUUCUUGUUGUCUCCACUCUAGAGUUUGUUCUUACAUUGGUGAGCUUGCUUUUCAGUUUUGAUACGUGUUAUUAUUUUGGCUUUUCAGGAUGAGGAGCAUUGGGAUUUGUGACGGCUGGGGAAUGGAGAGCAAGUGAGGAAGGGAAUCAUACCAUAUCAUAGAAUGGUGUAGGUUGGAGGAUACCUUACAGCCCAUCCAGUUCCAACCCCCUGAUGUGGGCUGGUUGUGCCAUACCAGAUCAGGCUGCCUAGAGGCCCAUCCAACAUGACCUUGAAUGCCUGCAGAGAGCAACCACAGCUUCUCUGUGCAGCCUGUUUCUGAAGGCUGAGGCCAAACAGCGUGAGUUGCAGACAUGGAUCCGGCAGGCCAUGGGUCUGGCUGGGCUCAAGGUGGAAGGAGGAGAGGUCCUCCUCACACAUUCAAGAGUUUUCCCAAUAGAAGGUGGAAGUGUUUGGGUCUUCUCACUGCUUUGCUGUGUUAUGAACCUUUACUGAUGUCUUCAUUAGCAGAGCAAUAGUGGAAAUACGGAGCCGGUUAGGGCCUGGCCACUCUGGGUGCUGUGGAAUUGGCUUUGAUCUUGGCUAUGGGGAGAGAUGGCUGUGUUCUCCAUGGUGUUCUUCCAUGGAGAAGCUUUUCUGCUCCCUCAGCUCUACCUUGAAGAAUCAUAGAAUCAUUAUGGUUGGAAAAGACCUCUAAGAUCAUCCAGUCCAACCAUUCACCUACCACCAAUACUGCUCACUAACCACAUCCCUGAGAAGAGACAGGAAGGGAACAGGAGGAAAAGACCAAGAGCCCCAGCUGAGGGCUGAGGGCUCGCACUGGCUGGGCUGGCAGCUGUGAGGUGUUAGAGAACUUCCAUGGGGCAGGAGAAGGGACGGCACCAGGCUCUGGUAACUGAGGUGGUGCUGAAGUGACAUGGCCUGUUGGCUGUGAUCAUCUGAGGGUGGAGCACCUUCCUCGGGUAGGGAGAGGUGAUCAUGCUGGUUUUAUUCACCCUGUGUGCUGUGAGCAGGUUAACCUGUAGGAUUAAAUAGUGCAUAAAAGAAACGAAGUGCCGGACCUUGGUAAAUCAAGCUCUUGGCCCUGUGGUUUGGGGGCCUGACUCCAAAGGUCCUUCUGUGCAUGGAAGAGCAGCUCUAUUCAUGGUGUUCCCCAGCUUAGAUGCAGCCUGGGGCAAUAUUAGUCCUUGUUAGUCCAGUCUGCUAAAAUACCACAUCUCCUACCCUUGCCCAUUCUUUUUCUGAAGUCAAGUCAAGACUAUCCAGAGCUCUUUUUGUGACAAAAUGAGCCUCUCUGCUGGUCAGUCAUGGUUUUAUUUAUGUCUUAUUUUCUUUGGUUAGAAAGGAAAAUAUCAGUAAAUGAAAAAGGACUCAAGUUUCCAAUAGCCGUAUCUUUAGUAGUUAAUUUUUUUGAAGCAAUACUUGUAUCCCUACGUGUGCCUCUAACCUUUCCAUGUAUUUGUUCAGCUUUGUCAGGUCUGAGUGUGAAAUAUCUCUGAAGAAGAUAGCUCUGUGAACUUCAAAAGUUAUGGAACAUCCAGGACACAGGGCAAGUGUAAGAUCAGGCUGUCUUUGUGUGAAGCACAUUGAGGGAAGGGCUACGAAUAGCUUCAUGCCCUUUUUCUCAUCCACUUUCAUCCACGAGGACCUCCUAGCUGCAAUGGCAGAAGUUUCAGGCCAAGCUGCUUUAGCACAGCUCCUGCAGUGGACAUUGCCAAAGUGACCUGGGGACAGCAGUUGAAAGUGAUCGGGUUAAGACUGCCUCCGAUAUGAACUAUACACAGUAGGUGCAGAUGUGGAGUAAGGCA
ensembl:lncRNA